AAAGCUUCAAACUUGUUUCUCAACGUUUCAAAACAAGAACUCAGAUUCUUUCGAACCUGGCUCUGAUACCAUAUGAGAUUUAGAGAAUCUGAGUUGUAUAUGAGAGAGUAGUAUGAUUUAGGUUGAGUAGAGAAAGGAUUAGUGACUAAUGGAUAAUCAUGAUCGAAAUGUGUAGAGAGAUUAAUAGGAUAGAACUGUCUAAUCUUAUUAUGAGAUGGGAUUACAAUACUUAUAGGAGAUACAUUAGGGUUUACAAGUAAGGAGAAAUGGCACUAGUCAUAAGCAUGUGAAGUCAAGUCAAGGAGGGAGCGCUUCUUUUGAAUUCAACGGACGGUAAGGCUCACAUGCUUUCGCUUUGCCUUUACAGCCUGUCCAAAGACUGAAUGGAUAAGGCUCGUCCCGCCCUUAUCUCUAAACGGUCUGAUCAGUCUUAAACCUUCCGUGUACUCUAGAGGCUUCACUCAUCCAACUCCUUCUUCCUUCAUGUUUCCUAAGCUGUACGGUCAUGCCCUAUCCGUACAUGAUCUAUCCGUACAUGCCCUAUCCGUACAUAGGCCGUACACUCUUCCAUUACUUGCCCAACUCCUCUUCUCCUUACCAUAAUGACUUCCUCAUCUCAACACUCCCCCUCAAGCUUAGCUUUGUGAAA
rnacentral:lncRNA from 1 species